UACGGAGGGAGCUAGCGUUGUUCGGAAUUACUGGGCGUAAAGCGCGCGCAGGCGGUCUUCCAAGUCAGUGGUGAAAGCCCGGAGCUCAACUCCGGAACUGCCAUUGAAACUGUUGGACUUGAGUACGAGAGAGGUGAGUGGAAUUCCCAGUGUAGAGGUGAAAUGCGUAGAGAUCGGAAAGAACACCAACGGCGAAAGCACUCUGCUGGGCCGACACUGACACUGAGAGACGAAAGCUAGGGGAGCGAAUGGG
rnacentral:rRNA from 1 species